rnacentral:rRNA from 1 species
UACGGAGGGAGCGAGCGUUGUUCGGAAUUACUGGGCGUAAAGGGUUCGCAGGCGGCUUUGCAAGUCGGGAGUGAAAUCCCUGGGCUUAACCCAGGAAUUGCUUUCGAAACUGCAAAGCUAGAGUCUCGGAGAGGUUAGCGGAAUUCCUAGUGUAGAGGUGAAAUUCGUAGAUAUUGGGAAGAACACCGUUGGCGAAGGCGGCGAGCUGGCCUGUACCUGAUGCUGAGGCGCGACAGCGUGGGGAGCAAACAGG